GACUAAGGAGGUACACCUGUCAAAUGGCAAUGCAAAUGUCCUAAUGCAAUCUCAGAGAAGAUGAAAACCUCCCAUGGCAAAAGAGUAAGAGCUUGAUCUUGAUCUUCAGUACUAAUACAGACCAUGUAAACAG
rnacentral:ncRNA from 1 species